rnacentral:tRNA from 1 species
GGUGGCUCAGUGGUAGAGCUCUUGCCUUGCAUGCAUGAGGCCCUGGGUCGAUAUCUCAGUACCA